rnacentral:rRNA from 1 species
GACGAACGCUGGCGGCGUGCUUAACACAUGCAAGUCGAACGGAAAGACCCUGCUUUUGUGGGGUGCUCGAGUGGCGAACGGGUGAGUAACACGUGAGUAACCUGCCCUUGACUUUGGGAUAACUUCAGGAAACUGGGGCUAAUACCGGAUAGGAGCUCCUGCUGCAUGGUGGGGGUUGGAAAGUUUCGGCGGUUGGGGAUGGACUCGCGGCUUAUCAGCUUGUUGGUUGGGUAGUGGCUUACCAAGGCUUUGACGGGUAGCCGGCCUGAGAGGGUGACCGGCCACAUUGGGACUGAGAUACGGCCCAGACUCCUACGGGAGGCAGCAGUGGGGAAUAUUGCACAAUGGGCGGAAGCCUGAUGCAGCAACGCCGCGUGCGGGAUGACGGCAUUCGGGUUGUAAACCGCUUUCGCCUGUGACGAAGCGUGAAUGACGGUAAUGGGUAAAGAAGCACCGGCUAACUACGUG